AAUCCUAACCCUUUGUGAAUUUGUUGUAUGAAAUAAUUUUUUUAAAAUUAUUGAUUGUCUUUCCCUGUUGAAUUGGAGCGUUUUCGACGAAAAUUCGCAGGGGAUAGUCAGUAAUUUUUAAAAAGACCUUUUUUAAAAUUAAACUUUUGUAUUCAUUGUUAAAAUUAUUUUAUAUUAAAACAAUUUUGACAAUGGAUUCUUGGUUCUCGAACGAUGAAGAACGCAGCAAAUGCGAUAGUAGUGUGAAUUGCAGAAUACGUGAAUCAUCGAAUCUUCGACGCAUAUGCACUUUUUUAGUUUACUAAAAAAAGUAUGUCUGUUUGAGUAUCAGUAAAAUAUUCUCAUAAAAACUAUUGUUUUUAUGGUUAUGAGUGUUUUACAACGAUACAAGUUGUUUCACUUUAAAUUUUUAAAAUAGAUUUUUUCUAAUUUUAAAAUAAAUUGGAUAAAUUUUCCCGUAAAAAGGAAUAACCUAAACAAUUUUAAUUUUUUAUUAGAAAAAAUCAUUUAAAGGAAAAAUUUAACAAAUAACUUGAUCUCAAAUCAGAUAAGAGUACCGCUGAACUUAAGCAUAUCAAUAGCGAGGAAAGAAAACUAACAAGGAUUCUUAGUAACGGCGAGUGAAGCGGAAGAGCUCAAAUUUGAAAUCUUCAAGUUUUACCUUGACGAAUUGUAGUUUAAAGAAGUGUUUUCUGUUGAAGUUUUGGUAAAAAGUUCUUUGGAAUAGGACAUCAUAGAGGUGAGAAUCCCGUAUUUGACAUUAUUUUCAGCUGUGUGAUACACUUUCAAAGAGUCGGAUUGUUUGGGAAUGCAGUCCAAAAUGGGUGGUAAAUUUCAUCUAAAGCUAAUAUUGCGAAGACGAUAGCGAACAAGUACCGUGAGGGAAAGAUGAAAAGAACUUUGAAAAGAGAGUUAAACAGUACGUGAAAUUGUCAAAAGGGAAGCGUUUGACACCAGUGUUGUUUUCUCGAAAAUCAAUUAAAAUGGCUGGAUUCUGUGUUGUAUUGACCUUAACAGCUUUCUUCACUUUUUUCCUGUCUUUUUUAAUGCACUUUCCGUUAACAAGUCAACAUCAGUUUCUUUUGUUGUAAAAGGGUCAUUGGAAGUGGCUUUCUUUUCGGAGAAAGUGUUUAUAGCUUUGAUCUCUGCAAUCGGAGAGACUGAGUCUGCAGCGUAGACUCUUCGGGUUAGGUACAUUUGUGCUAAGUUAUAGCUUUCAUAGACAACUUGUGACUAUGUUAGUCUGUAGCUUACUCGUUAUGCUAUUUACCUACGCUUAGGAUGUUGAC
rnacentral:misc_RNA from 1 species